rnacentral:rRNA from 1 species
CCUACGGGAGGCAGCAGUGAGGAAUAUUGGUCAAUGGGCGCGAGCCUGAACCAGCCAAGUCGCGUGAGGGAAGACGGCCCUACGGGUUGUAAACCUCUUUUGCCGGGGAGCAACGGGCGCCACGUGUGGCGCCACUGAGAGUACCCGGAGAAACAGCAUCGGCUAACUCCGUGCCAGCAGCCGCGGUAAUACGGAGGAUGCGAGCGUUAUCCGGAUUUAUUGGGUUUAAAGGGGGCGUAGGCGGAGUGUAAAGUCAGGGGUAAAAUUGAGGGGCUCAACCCCUUCCCGCCGUUGAAACUGGCGCUCUUGAGUGGAAGAGAGGUAUGCGGAAUGCGUGGUGUAGCGGUGAAAUGCAUAGAGAUCACGCAGAACCCCGAUUGCGAAGGCAGCAUGCCGGCUUCCUACUGACGCUGAAGCACGAAAGCGUGGGGAUCGAACAGGAUUAGAUACCCGAGUAGUC